rnacentral:rRNA from 1 species
AGCUGGCUGGUGCCAUGAGGUGACUUCUGCCCAGUGCUCUGAUUGUCAUUGCAAAGAGAUUUAGCCAAGCGCGGGUAAACGGCGGGAGUAACUAUGACUCUCUUAAGGUAGCCAAAUGCCUCGUCAACCAAUUAUUGACGCGCAUGAAUGGAUCAACGAGAUUCCUGCUGUCCCUAGUUGCUGUCUGGCGAACCAACAGCCAAGGGAACGGGCUUGGGUGCGCCAGCGGGGAAAGAAGACCCUGUUGAGUUUGACUCUAGUUUGAUGCUGUGCAGCGACAUGGGGGGUGUAGCAUAGGUGGGAGGCAAGUGCCACCACCACCCUUGCUGCAGCCCACCUCCCUCCAACCCCACCAAGGCUUCUCUUCCCCACAGCAGCAAUGCUGUGGGGAGUGAACGUGCUUGUGAGAGCGGAGAAGGUGGCCCUCUCUCCCCGCAAGGGGAGAGCAAGGGGCAGCAAUGGGUCCUGUGAAGCAGAAGCAGAGAAUGAGAGUGUGUGGUGCAAACCAGCAGUGAAAUACCACUACCUUCACCGUCGCUUUACUCAGCAGGUGGCUUGGGAGCAGAGGCCUCUGUCCUGACAUCGACCACUGCUUUGUAGCAGAGGUUGUGGCCACAACCUGCUUCGUGUGCCAAGCAUGGCUAACCCCCACCUUGUGUGGGUAGGGAGCUGUGUGACCCUUGGGGUUUGAGCACCCCACUGCACUCUCAGAGCCCUGUGACACUGAUCAGUUGGGGAGUUUGGCUGGGGCGGCACGCCUGUUACAUCACAACGCAGGCGUCCUGAAGCAUUGCUCAGCUGGAAGGGAAAUCUUGCGUGGAGGAGCAGGCCAAAGGUGCUGCUGAUGUUGCGGCUUCCAGUACAAGCCCAGAACAUGCAAGUGUGGCCUUGCGAUCCUUUGGCUAACCCUCCGGGUUCGGGAUAUUGAAGCCAGAGGUGUCAGAAAAAUUACCACAGGGAUAACUGGCUUGUGGCUGCCAAGCGUUCAAAGCGACGUCGCUUUUUGAUCCUUCGAUGUCGGCUCUUCCUAGCUUCCCACCCGCAGCCGAGUGGAAGAGUUGGAUUGUUC